rnacentral:rRNA from 1 species
UACGGAGGGUGCAAGCGUUGUCCGGAUUUAUUGGGUUUAAAGGGUGCGUAGGCGGCUUUGUAAGUCAGUGGUGAAAUACGGUAGCUCAACUAUCGAGGUGCCAUUGAUACUGCGGAGCUUGAGUACAGAUGAGGUAGGCGGAAUUGACGGUGUAGCGGUGAAAUGCUUAGAUAUCGUCAAGAACACCUAUAGCGAAGGCAGCUUACUAGGCUGUAACUGACGCUGAGGCACGAAAGUGUGGGGAUCAAACAGG